rnacentral:rRNA from 1 species
AGAUUGAACGCUGGCGGCAGGCCUAACACAUGCAAGUCGAGCGGUAGAGAGGUGCUUGCACCUCUUGAGAGCGGCGGACGGGUGAGUAAUGCCUAGGAACCUGCCUAGUGGUGGGGGAUAACGUUCGGAAACGGACGCUAAUACCGCAUACGUCCUACGGGAGAAAGCGGGGGACCUUCGGGCCUCGCGCCAUUAGAUGAGCCUAGGUCGGAUUAGCUAGUUGGUGAGGUAAUGGCUCACCAAGGCGACGAUCCGUAACUGGUCUGAGAGGAUGAUCAGUCACACUGGAACUGAGACACGGUCCAGACUCCUACGGGAGCAGCAGUGGGGAAUAUUGGACAAGUGGG